GCCCCCUCGGCCUCUGAAUCCAGCUAUGAAUGGGUUAAACUGAGGUUUAACUGAGGUAAACCUGCAUUUGGGGCUUGCAAGGGAUUCCCUUGGAGUCUAAGUCCAGGUUUAGAUGGGUUAAACUGACUUUUAGGGCUUCCAAGUGCAGGUUUAAAUGAGUUAAACUUGCAUUUGGGGCUUGCAAGUAACCCCCUUCGUUUCUAAGUCCAGGUUUAACUGGGCUGAACUGACAUUUAGGGGUUCCAAGUCCAGAUUUAACUGACUUAAACCUGCACUGAGGGCUUGCAAGUGAUCCACUCAGCUUCAUGUCCAGGUUUAACUGGGCUAAACCUGCACUGAGGGCUUGCAAGCACACCCUUUGGCUUCUAAAUCCAGGUUUAGAUGGGUUAAACUGACAUUUAGGGCUUCCAAUGCAGGUUUAAGCGAGUUAAACCUGCACUGAGGGCUUGCAAGUGCCCCCCCUGGCUUCUAAGCCCAGGCUUAACUGGGUUAAACUGAUAUUUAGUGCCCCCCUCAGCUUCUAAGUCCAGGUUUAACUGGGUUAAACUGACAUCUAGGGCUUGCAAGGGAUUCCCUUGGCUUCUAAGUCCAGCUUUAAAUGGGUUAAACUGACUUUUAGGGCUUCCAAGUGCAGGUUUAAAUGAGUUAAACCUGCACUGAGGGCUUGCAAGCACCCUCCUUGGUUUCUAAAUCCAGGUUUAGAUGGGUUAAACUGACAUUUAGGGCUUCCAAUGCAGGUUUAAUGGGGCUAAACCUGCAUUUAGAGCUUCCAAGUGUCCCCCUCAGCUUCUAAGUGCAGGUUUAACUGGGCUAACCCUGCAUUUGGGGCUUGCAAGCACCCCCCUGGCUUCUGAGUCUAAAUUUAGAUGGGUUAAACUGAUAUUUAGGGCUUGCAAGGGAUUCCCUUGGCUUCUAAGUCCAGGUUUAACUGGGGUAAACUGACAAUUUAGGGCUUGCAAGCACCCCCUUGGCUUCUAAAUCCAGGUUUAAAUGGGCAAAACUGACAUUUAGGUUUUGCAAGUGCCCCCCUGGUCCUAAAUGCAGGUUUGGGUUUGAGGGAUGUGCAUGGGAAGCUCUGGCUGAGCUGUGACUCUGGACAAGCUGGGGGCACACAGGGGAACCCCAGCCCUGCUCCCAGGGCAGAUCCACGCUGCCAAAAACUCCUCUGGGGGGUUCAAACCAGCUCCUAAAAUGAUGCCAAACCCACCCAACCCACACUCCUCACUCUGUACAAGGUCAUGGACACACAGGGAACCGGGGAGAGGGACACACGGACAGGGACAGACAGCAAGAACACAGGGACUGAAA